GAUCAUGGCUCAGGAUGAACGCUGACAGAAUGCUUAACACAUGCAAGUCAACUUGAACUUCGGUUUGGGUGGCGGACGGGUGAGUAACGCGUAAAGAACUUGCCUCACAGAUAGGGACAACAUUUGGAAACGAAUGCUAAUACCUGAUAUUAUAAUUAUAUGGCAUCGUAUAAUUAUGAAAGCUAUAUGCGCUGUGAGAGAGCUUUGCGUCCCAUUAGCUAGUUGGAG
rnacentral:rRNA from 1 species